UACAGUGUACCCUCCGUCACGCGCACACGGACUAUUAUGCUGGAUCGUCAAGCCACAGUUACGGAUCAUCUACUGGGAAUCAGCGCAUCGAGUCAUGGUGGUCUUAUUUCAGAAGAGGAAGGUCUCAGUUUUGGAUGGACUUGUUUGGAGACCUAAGAGACUCUGGAAACUUAAAUGGAAGCCACGAACACCAAUGCUUGCUGAGAUUCUGCUUCAGAGGGGUUCUACAGAAAGACCUGGAUGAAUGCAAAGACCUCUGGAACAAACAUAGGAUCCGGCCAAGCAGACUUGCAUCGUGUCCAGGGGGGAUUCCAAACUAACUCUAUCUCUUGCCUCACAGAUAUGGUUCAAGAGACUGUGGAUUUGCUGUUGAGGAGAGGGAACUGGAUGUGUUUCCCAAGGAGGGGCUACCGGUUGGAUUGUGUGGUGAUCCAAACAUUGAGGAAUAUUUACAACAGGCUGUACAACAAAACACACUGCAGCAGCCACCAGACUGGGAAUCGGCCACAGAACUGUAUUUGGCCCUGAAGGACAUAGCUGGGUUUUAGAUACCAACUGAACUUCAGUUUGUAAUGACAUUUGUCAGAGUUACUCUGACGAAGACACACACUGUGUUGAAACGUUAGUUUCUUUCCUUUUUUUGCACCUAAUAAAACCUUUGGACUUGAGUGCUCCAGCCCUUCUGUUUUUCCUUCAUUUUUUUAAUGUUAGUAGUGUUUCCUUUCCCUCUUGCUAAAUUGAAUAUAAUAUUGUUCAUAAUAUACAGCAACUGGCAUGAAUUUAAAUAUUAACAUUUAACCACAAGGAAACAUUUACAAUUUUCUUUAAUAAAACCAUUUACAAAUAGUGUCCAGCAUUUCUGUCACUUUUCCAACAUACACAAUAUUAAGAAAAAACAACUAAAUGUUUAACAAUAUGGAAGUUGCUUAUCACAUGAAUGUGUUAGGUUCAGCUGCCGUUGGCACACUACUUAACAGGGUAACUCAGUAACUGUAACUUGAUGACCUUGCUGAUUUAAGAACAUCCAAAUCCUGGAGCAUUUUGAAUUCCAAAGUCCAUGUUGGCCUUAAAGAUGCCAUAUGAGUCACAGAUGGGUAGCUUCAGAGUAUUUGCACAGGUGUUUGCAACUGGAAAAGGCGAAUCACUUAAAAACUGGAUGC